UUGAAGAACGUCUUGAAACAAAAGAAUGAUGUAGAAAGUCACAAAAGGACGAAAGCCUGCAUUUUGGCUAAGUGUCUUUGUUGAAGUUGGUGGAAUGAUGCUGACACAGAAUAGAGCCAUCCUCAGCUGCCUUGCUGCAAAGUCCAUUUUACAUGGGAAGGGCCUGGUAUGCAGGGUGAUGACACCCUGAUGGUGGGGGUGCUGGCUGCAUUCUGACUGCCCCAGGAAAAAGAGGAGCAACUUGUUUUCAUUGUAAAGAAAGACAAAACCCGGGAUUGGCCUGUCUUUGAAAGGACACAGGUGCAGAUUAUUCUCCACUUGUCCCGUUAGGUUGAUCCUGCACUCUGCUGCGUGUGGGAGGCUGACAUUUCGACUGCAUCACUGGGUUUCCUUGCAUGCUGGCUUCAGGGUGGAUUCAGACAAUGGGCAUCAGCAGGAAACUGUGGGUUGGUAUAGAGAUAAAGAUGUCAGGCUGAUCUGAUCUUGCCUGACUGUGGGUCUGGCAGUGGUUGUGUUCCUCUAUGGCCACAGCUCCUGUUGGAUAGGUUUCCAUGGCUCCAGCUCUCCCCAGCCUCUGGUGAAAACACUUCCUCCUCUU
rnacentral:lncRNA from 10 species